UGNUCUGUCACCGACGCUGAGGCUCGAAAGCGUGGGUAGCGAACAGGAUUAGAUACCNUGGUAGUCCACGCCGUAAACGCUGAGUGCUAGGUGUUAGGUCCUUUCCGGGACUUAGUGCCGACGCUAACGCAUUAAGCACUCCGCCUGGGGAGUACGACCGCAAGGUUGAAACUCAAAGGAAUUGACGGGGGCCCGCACAAGCGGUGGAGCAUGUGGUUUAAUUCGAAGCAACGCGAAGAACCUUACCAGGUCUUGACAUCCCGAUGCCCGCUCUAGAGAUAGAGUUUUACUUUUUGUACAUCGGAGACAGGUGGUGCAUGGUUGUCGUCAGCUCGUGUCGUGAGAUGUUGGGUUAAGUCCCGCAACGAGCGCAACCCUUAUUGUUAGUUGCCAUCAUUAAGUUGGGCACUCUAGCGAGACUGCCGGUAAUAAACCGGAGGAAGGUGGGGAUGACGUCAAAUCAUCAUGCCCCUUAUGACCUGGGCUACACACGUGCUACAAUGGUUGGUACAACGAGUCGCAAGCCGGUGACGGCAAGCUAAUCUCUGAAAGCCAAUCUCAGUUCGGAUUGUAGGCUGCAACUCGCCUACAUGAAGUCGGAAUCGCUAGUAAUCGCGGAUCAGCACGCCGCGGUGAAUACGUUCCCGGGCCUUGUACACANCGCCCGUCACACCACGAGAGUUUGUANCACCCAA
rnacentral:rRNA from 1 species